rnacentral:rRNA from 1 species
UUUUGCAUAUUCUCCAAAAGCGGAGGAAAAGAAACCAACAGGGAUUGCCUCAGUAACGGCGAGUGAAGCGGCAACAGCUCAAAUUUGAAAUCUGGCCUCUUGGGGUCCGAGUUGUAAUUUGUAGAGGAUGUUUCGGGUACCGCCUCGGUUUAAAUUUCUUGGAACAGAAUGUCAAAGAGGGUGAGAAUCCCGUCUUGGACCGGCGGUAGGGCCUAUGUGAAACUCCUUCGACGAGUCGAGUUGUUUGGGAAUGCAGCUCAAAAUGGGUGGUAAAUUUCAUCUAAAGCUAAAUAUUGGCCAGAGACCGAUAGCGCACAAGUAGAGUGAUCGAAAGAUGAAAAGCACUUUGAAAAGAGAGUUAAACAGUAUGUGAAAUUGUUGAAAGGGAAGCGCUUGCAACCAGACUUGAGCGCGGCGGUUCCCCCUUGCUUCUGCUUGGGUUACUCCGCCGUGUCCAGGCCAACAUCGGUUCUGGGGGUCGGUCAAAGGCUCUGGGAAUGUAUCUACCCACGGGUAGACUUAUAGACCAGGGUGUCAUGCGACCUCCCGGGACCGAGGAACGCGCUUCGGCUCGGAUGUUGGCGUAAUGGUUGUCAGCGACCCGUCUUGAACCACCGGACCAAAAA